rnacentral:rRNA from 1 species
CAGCAGCCGCGGUAAUACGUAGGUGGCGAGCGUUGUCCGGAUUUAUUGGGCGUAAAGGGAGUGUAGGCGGUCUUUUAAGUCUGAUGUGAAAGCCCCCGGCUCAACCGGGGAGGGUCAUUGGAAACUGGGAAACUUGAGUGCAGAAGAGGAGAGUGGAAUUCCACGUGUAGCGGUGAAAUGCGUAGAGAUGUGGAGGAACACCAGUGGCGAAGGCGACUCUCUGGUUUGUAACUGACGCUGAGGAGCGAAAGCGUGGGGAGCGAACAGGAUUAGAUACCCGAGUAGUUCCUGUCUCUUAUAA